rnacentral:rRNA from 1 species
CCGGCGACCGGCGCACGGGUGAGUAACACGUAUGCAACCUGCCCUCUUCAGGGGGACAACCUUCCGAAAGGGAGGCUAAUCCCGCGUAUAUCGGCUUCGGGCAUCCGAGAUCGAGGAAAGAUUCAUCGGAAGAGGAUGGGCAUGCGGCGCAUUAGCUAGACGGCGGGGUAACGGCCCACCGUGGCGACGAUGCGUAGGGGUUCUGAGAGGAAGGUCCCCCACACUGGUACUGAGACACGGACCAGACUCCUACGGGAGGCAGCAG